UACAGAGGGGGCAAGCGUUAUUCGGAAUUAUUGGGCGUAAAGGGCGCGUAGGCGGCUUGGCAAGUGGAUGGUGAAAUCCCUCGGCUUAACCGAGGAACUGCCAUCCAGACUGCUUUGCUUGAGGCCGGGAGAGGUGAGUGGAAUUCCCAGUGUAGCGGUGAAAUGCGUAGAUAUCGGGAGGAACACCAGUGGCGAAGGCGGUUGCCUGGAGCUUUGCUGACGCUGAUGCGCGAAAGCGUGGGGAGCGAGCCGG
rnacentral:rRNA from 1 species